AUUGAACGCUGGCGGCAGGCCUAACACAUGCAAGUCGAGCGGCAGCGGGAAAGUAGCUUGCUACUUUUGCCGGCGAGCGGCGGACGGGUGAGUAAUGCCUGGGAAAUUGCCCAGUCGAGGGGGAUAACAGUUGGAAACGACUGCUAAUACCGCAUACGCCCUACGGGGGAAAGCAGGGGACCUUCGGGCCUUGCGCGAUUGGAUAUGCCCAGGUGGGAUUAGCUAGUUGGUGAGGUAAUGGCUCACCAAGGCGACGAUCCCUAGCUGGUCUGAGAGGAUGAUCAGCCACACUGGAACUGAGACACGGUCCAGACUCCUACGGGAGGCAGCAGUGGGGAAUAUUGCACAAUGGGGGAAACCCUGAUUCAGCCAUGCCGCGUGUGUGAAGAAGGCCUUCGGGUUGUAAAGCACUUUCAGCGAGGAGGAAAGGUUGAUGCCUAAUACGUAUCAACUGUGACGUUACUCGCAGAAGAAGCACCGGCUAACUCCGUGCCAGCCGCCGCCGUAAAAC
rnacentral:rRNA from 1 species